GGCCUACUUCGCCGACCAGAACAGGAUGGGCCGCAUGAGUUCCGACCAGAGGGAAGGGCUGGAUCGCAUGCUCAAGUCGGGGAUCAUGGAACGCCACAUGGCCGAGACGGGCGUCGACCCCAGAAACGUCUGGAUUGCUCCGCCCACGAUACUUGAUAACCCGGAUAAGGACCCCAGUGAGU